rnacentral:rRNA from 1 species
CGAGGCCGAAAGGCGUAGUCGAUGGACAACUGGUUGAUAUUCCAGUACUAGAUAUGAUCGUGAUGGAGGGACGCAGUAGGCUAAGAGAUGCCAGUUAAUGGAUUCUGGUCUAAGCAGUGAGGUGUGAGAUGUGUCAAAUGCAUUUCUCUUUAACAUUGAGCUGUGAUGGGGAAGCAACUACGGUUGCGAACUCUCUGAUGUCACACUGCCAAGAAAAGCUUCUAGCGUAAAGUCAUAUCUACCCGUACCGCAAACCGACACAGGUAGUCGAGGCGAGUAGCCUCAGGUGAUCGAGAGAACUCUCGUUAAGGAACUCGGCAAAAUAGCCCCGUAACUUCGGGAGAAGGGGUGCUGGUGUAAAAGCCAGCCGCAGUGAAUAGGCCCAAGCAACUGUUUAUCAAAAACACAGCUCUCUGCUAAACCGCAAGGUGAUGU